rnacentral:rRNA from 1 species
UACAGAGGUCCCAAGCGUUGUUCGGAUUCAUUGGGCGUAAAGGGUGUGUAGGUGGCGCCGUAAGUCGGGUGUGAAAUCUCGGGGCUUAACUCCGAAACUGCAUUCGAUACUGCCGUGCUUGAGGACUGGAGAGGAGACUGGAAUUUACGGUGUAGCGGUGAAAUGCGUAGAUAUCGUAAGGAAGACCAGUGGCGAAGGCGGGUCUCUGGACAGUUCCUGACGCUGAGGCGCGAAAGCUAGGGGAGCAAACGGG